rnacentral:rRNA from 1 species
GACGAACGCUGGCGGCGUGCUUAACACAUGCCAGUCGAACGGAAAGGCCCUGCUUUUGUGGGGUGCUCGAGUGGCGAACGGGUGAGUAACACGUGAGUAACCUGCCCUUGACUUUGGGAUAACUUCAGGAAACUGGGGCUGAUACCGGAUAGGAGCUCCUGCUGCAUGGUGGGGGUUGGAAAGUUUCGGCGGUUGGGGAUGGACUCGCGGCUUAUCAGCUUGUUGGUGGGGUAGUGGCUUACCAAGGCUUUGACGGGUAGCCGGCCUGAGAGGGUGACCGGCCACAUUGGGACUGAGAUACGGCCCAGACUCCUACGGGAGGCAGCAGUGGGGAAUAUUGCACAAUGGGCUGAAGCCUGAUGCAGCAACGCCGCGUGCGGGAUGACGGCCUUCGGGUUGUAAACCGCUUUCGCCUGUGACGAAGCGUGAGUGACGGUAAUGGGUAAAGAAGCACCGGCUAACUACGUG